GCGCCAUUAGCUCAAUAGGCAGAGCAGUUGACUCUUAAUCAAUUGGUUCGGGGUUCGAGUCCCUGAUGGCGCA
rnacentral:tRNA from 1 species